rnacentral:rRNA from 1 species
UACGAAGGGGGCUAGCGUUGCUCGGAAUCACUGGGCGUAAAGGGCGUGUAGGCGGUCAAGUAAGUGGAAUGUGAAAUGCCCCGGCUCACCCGGGGACCUGCAUCCCAAACUGCUUGGCUUGAGUAUGGGAGAGGAUGAGGGAAUUCCUGGUGUAGCGGUGAAAUGCGUAGAUAUCGAGGAGGAACACCGGUGGCGAAGGC